rnacentral:rRNA from 1 species
AUUGAACGCAGGCGGCAUGCCUUACACAUGCAAGUCGAACGGCAGCGGACCUUCGGGUGCCGGCGAGUGGCGAACGGGUGAGUAAUAUAUCGGAACGUACCUUUCAGUGGGGGAUAACGUAGCGAAAGUUACGCUAAUACCGCAUAUUCUGUGAGCAGGAAAGCAGGGGAUCGCAAGACCUUGCGCUGAUUGAGCGGCCGAUAUCAGAUUAGCUAGUUGGUGAGGUAAAGGCUCACCAAGGCGACGAUCUGUAGCGGGUCUGAGAGGAUGAUCCGCCACACUGGAACUGAGACACGGUCCAGACUCCUACGGGAGGCAGCAGUGGGGAAUUUUGGACAAUGGGCGCAAGCCUGAUCCAGCCAUGUCGCGUGAGUGAAGAAGGCC